UACAUGGGGUGCAAACGUUGCUCGGAAUCAUUGGGCGUAAAGCGCGCGUAGGCGGUUACUUACGUCGGGUGUGAAAGCCCUCGGCUUAACUGAGGAAGUGCAUCCGAAACUGAGUAGCUAGAGUACGAAAGAGGGUCGCGGAAUUCCCGGUGUAGAGGUGAAAUUCGUAGAUAUCGGGAGGAACACCGGUGGCGAAGGCGGCGACCUGGGUCGAGACUGACGCUGAGGCGCGAAAGCGUGGGGAGCAAACAGG
rnacentral:rRNA from 1 species